rnacentral:lncRNA from 1 species
UUGUAGGCAUUCCGCCGGACCAGCAGCGUCUGAUUUUUGCUGGCAAGCAGCUGGAGGAUGGCCGCACUCUGGCGGACUACAACAUUCAGAAGGAGAGCACCUUGCACCUGGUGCUCCGUCUGCGCGGUGGCAUGCAGAUCUUCGUGAAGACCCUUACGGGUAAGACCAUUACCCUGGAGGUCGAGUCUUCGGACACCAUCGAGAACGUCAAGGCCAAGAUUCAGGACAAGGAGGGUAAGCAUCUGGGACUCUGGGGUGCAUCACUUGAAAUGGGGAGAAGUUGCAGCUCUGUUUUCCGCCUUUGUCUUUUUCAAAACUCCUUUUACACCCCAUGGCUUGUGCGAUUCUCCGCUUGUAGGCAUUCCGCCGGACCAGCAGCGUCUGAUUUUUGCUGGCAAGCAGCUGGAGGAUGGCCGCACUCUGGCGGACUACAACAUUCAGAAGGAGAGCACCUUGCACCUGGUGCUCCGUCUGCGUGGUGGCAUGCAGAUCUUCGUGAAGACCCUUACGGGUAAGACCAUUACCCUGGAGGUCGAGUCUUCGGACACCAUCGAGAACGUCAAGGCCAAGAUUCAGGACAAGGAGGGUAAGCAACUGGGACUCAGGGGUGCAUCACUUGAAAUGGGGAGAAGUUGCAGCUCUGUUUUCCGCCUUGGGUUCGCUUAGCUGUUCCUGUCUUUUUCAAAACUCCUUUUACACCCCAUGGCUUGUGCGAUUCUCCGCUUGUAGGCAUUCCGCCGGACCAGCAGCGUCUGAUUUUUGCUGGCAAGCAGCUGGAGGAUGGCCGCACUCUGGCGGACUACAACAUUCAGAAGGAGAGCACCUUGCACCUGGUGCUCCGUCUGCGUGGUGGCAUGCAGAUCUUCGUGAAGACCCUUACGGGUAAGACCAUUACCCUGGAGGUCGAGUCUUCGGACACCAUCGAGAACGUCAAGGCCAAGAUUCAGGACAAGGAGGGUAAGCAACUGGGACUCAGGGGUGCAUCACUUGAAAUGGGGAGAAGUUGCAGCUCUGUUUUCCGCCUUGGGUUCGCUUAGCUGUUCCUGUCUUUUUCGAAACUCCUUUUACACCCCAUGGCUUGUGCGGUUCUCCGCUUGUAGGCAUUCCGCCGGACCAGCAGCGUCUGAUUUUUGCUGGCAAGCAGCUGGAGGAUGGCCGCACUCUGGCGGACUACAACAUUCAGAAGGAGAGCACCUUGCACCUGGUGCUCCGUCUGCGCGGUGGACUGUGAACGUUUUGUGCGUGAAUAAAACUCUUGCCGCCUUUGUUUUGUGAGGAAUUGUACUUGGCAAGAGCAUUGGGGAGGUAUUGCAGAUGCGGAGACUUUUAUGUAAUUCACGUACGUGCGUCAUAAUCAUUUUUACACAAGAAAGUACGAUGUGCUAUUUCGCUGCCAU